rnacentral:rRNA from 1 species
UGACACUGAGGAGCGAAAGCGUGGGGAGCGAACAGGAUUAGAUACCCUGGUAGUCCACGCCGUAAACGGUGGGCGCUAGUUGUGCGAACCUUCCACGGUUUGUGCGACGCAGCUAACGCAUUAAGCGCCCCGCCUGGGGAGUACGAUCGCAAGAUUAAAACUCAAAGGAAUUGACGGGGCCCCGCACAAGCAGCGGAGCAUGCGGCUUAAUUCGACGCAACGCGAAGAACCUUACCAAGGCUUGACAUAUACAGGAAUAUGGCAGAGAUGUCAUAGCCGCAAGGUCUGUAUACAGGUGGUGCAUGGUUGUCGUCAGCUCGUGUCGUGAGAUGUUGGGUUAAGUCCCGCAACGAGCGCAACCCUCGUUCUGUGUUGCCAGCAUUUAGUUGGGGACUCACAGGAGACUGCCGGGGUUAACUCGGAGGAAGGUGGGGAUGACGUCAAAUCAUCAUGCCCCUUAUGUCUUGGGCUGCACGCAUGCUACAAUGGCUGGUACAAACGGCUGCGAUACCGCAAGGUGGAGCGAAUCCGAUAAAGCCAGUCUCAGUUCGGAUUGGGGUCUGCAACUCGACCCCAUGAAGUCGGA